rnacentral:rRNA from 1 species
AUUGAACGCUGGCGGCAGGCCUAACACACGCAAGUCGAGCGGAUGAGUGGAGCUUGCUCCAUGAUUCAGCGGCGGACGGGUGAGUAAUGCCUAGGAAUCUGCCUGGUAGUGGGGGACAACGUUUCGAAAGGAACGCUAAUACCGCAUACGUCCUACGGGAGAAAGUGGGGGAGCUUCGGACCUCACGCUAUCAGAUGAGCCUAUGUCGGAUUAGCUAGUUGGUGAGGUAAAGGCUCACCAAGGCGACGAUCCGUAACUGGUCUGAGAGGAUGAUCAGUAACACUGGAACUGAGACACGGUCCAGACUCCUACGGGAGGCAGCAGUGGGGAAUAUUGGACAAUGGGCGAAAGCCUGAUCCAGCCAUGCCGCGUGUGUGAAGAAGGUCUUCGGAUUGUAAAGCACUUUAAGUUGGGAGGAAGGGCAGUAAGUUAAUACCUUGCUGUUUUGACGUUACCAACAGAAUAAGCACCGGCUAACUUCGUGCCAGCAGCCGCGGUAACAC